GACGAACGCUGGCGGCGUGCUUAACACAUGCAAGUCGAACGGAAAGGCCCUGCUUUUGUGGGGUGCUCGAGUGGCGAACGGGUGAGUAACACGUGAGUAACCUGCCCUUGACUUUGGGAUAACUUCAGGAAACUGGGGCUAAUACCGGAUAGGAGCUCCUGCUGCAUGGUGGGGGUUGGAAAGUUUCGGCGGUUGGGGAUGGACUCGCGGCUUAUCAGCUUGUUGGUGGGGUAGUGGCUUACCAAGGCUUUGACGGGUAGCCGGCCUGAGAGGGUGACCGGCCACAUUGGGACUGAGAUACGGCCCAGACUCCUACGGGAGGCAGCAGUGGGGAAUAUUGCACAAUGGGCGGAAGCCUGAUGCAGCAACGCCGCGUGCGGGAUGACGGCCUUCGGGUUGUAAACCGCUUUCGCCUGUGACGAAGCGUGAGUGACGGUAAUGGGUAAAGAAGCACCGGCUAACUACGUGCCAGCAGCCGCGGUGAUAUGUAGGGUGCGAGCGUUGUCCGGAUUUAUUGGGCGUAAAGGGCUCGUAGGUGGUUGAUCGCGUCGGAAGUGUAAUCUUGGGGCUUAACCCUGAGCGUGCUUUCGAUACGGGUUGACUUGAGGAAGGUAGGGGAGAAUGGAAUUCCUGGUGGAGCGGUGGAAUGCGCAGAUAUCAGGAGGAACACCAGUGGCGAAGGCGGUUCUCUGGGCCUUUCCUGACGCUGAGGAGCGAAAGCGUGGGGAGCGAACAGGCUUAGAUACCCUGGUAGUCCACGCUGUAAACGGUGGGUACUAGGUGUGGGGUCCAUUCCACGGGUUCCGUGCCGUAGCUAACGCUUUAAGUACCCCGCCUGGGGAGUACGGCCGCAAGGCUAAAACUCAAAGGAAUUGACGGGGCCCCGCACAAGCGGCGGAGCAUGCGGAUUAAUUCGAUGCAACGCGUAGAACCUUACCUGGGUUUGACAUGGAUCGGGAGUGCUCAGAGAUGGGUGUGCCUCUUUUGGGGUCGGUUCACAGGUGGUGCAUGGCUGUCGUCAGCUCGUGUCGUGAGAUGUUGGGUUAAGUCCCGCAACGAGCGCAACCCUUGUUCACUGUUGCCAGCACGUUAUGGUGGGGACUCAGUGGAGACCGCCGGGGUCAACUCGGAGGAAGGUGGGGAUGACGUCAAGUCAUCAUGCCCCUUAUGUCCAGGGCUUCACGCAUGCUACAAUGGCUGGUACAGAGAGUGGCGAGCCUGUGAGGGUGAGCGAAUCUCGGAAAGCCGGUCUCAGUUCGGAUUGGGGUCUGCAACUCGACCUCAUGAAGUCGGAGUCGCUAGUAAUCGCAGAUCAGCAACGCUGCGGUGAAUACGUUCCCGGG
rnacentral:rRNA from 1 species